GGAAUAUUGCGCAAUGGCCGAAAGGCUGACGCAGCGACGCCGCGUGUGGGAGGAAGCCCUUCGGGGUGUAAACCACUGUCAGGGGGGACGAAACCCGGGCGGGCGAACAGCCCGUUCGAUUGACGGUACCUCCAGAGGAAGCGCCGGCUAACUCCGUGCCCGCAGCCGCGGUAAGACGGAGGGCGCAAGCGUUGUUCGGAAUUACUGGGCGUAAAGCGCGGGCAGGCGGUCCAUUAAGUCUGCUGUGAAAUCCCGGGGCUCAACUCCGGAUGUGCAGCGGAUACUGGUGGACUAGAGACCGGUAGAGGCGAGUGGAAUUCCUGGUGUAGCGGUGGAAUGCGUAGAUAUCAGGAAGAACACCGGUGGCGAAGGCGGCUCGCUGGGCCGGUUCUGACGCUCAUCCGCGAAAGCGUGGGGAGCA
rnacentral:rRNA from 1 species